rnacentral:rRNA from 1 species
AUGAACGCUGGCGGAAUGCUUUACACAUGCAAGUCGAACGGCAGCACGGGGGCAACCCUGGUGGCGAGUGGCGAACGGGUGAGUAAUACAUCGGAACGUGCCCAGUCGUGGGGGAUAACUACGCGAAAGCGUAGCUAAUACCGCAUACGAUCUACGGAUGAAAGCGGGGGAUCGCAAGACCUCGCGCGAUUGGAGCGGCCGAUGGCAGAUUAGGUAGUUGGUGGGGUAAGGGCUCACCAAGCCAUCGAUCUGUAGCUGGUCUGAGAGGACGACCAGCCACACUGGGACUGAGACACGGCCCAGACUCCUACGGGAGGCAGCAGUGGGGAAUUUUGGACAAUGGGCGCAUGCCUGAUCCAGCCAUUCCGCGUGCAGGAUGAAGGCCUUCGGAUUGUAAACUGCUUUUGUACGGAACGAAAAGGCUUUCUCUAAUACAGGGAGCUCAUGACGGUACCGUAAGAAUAAGCACCGGCUAACUACGUGCCAGCCGCCGCGGUAAUUCAAGGGCGAAUUCCACAGUG